AAAAGAGGGUCGAAAGAGGGAACAUUGUAGUUUUGUGCCCGCGAUUGGGGCCUUGACCUCGGCCUUCCCUUUCGUUCAAUACAUAUAGUUUGCGUUUCGCACAUCUUGCUCCGGAGGUUGUUUUGGGUUGAGAUUAUGGGUUUGUUCCUGUGUUUGUUGGGUUUUUUAGAUUUUAUUUCGCUUUGAGUUGCUGAGGCAAUUGAUUCUCUUUCUCCUUAUGUGGUGGCUAGCAUUUCCAUGGUUUUGCUUUGUAGAGAGGCUAUGGCUAGUCGCUUGGUGGUCGAGGAUUACUUCUUGAGAGAGUUCUCGUUGUUGUUGUCUCCAUAGAAGCUUUAUUGCAUGUGUGCGAUGGCGGUGGCUUCGGAAUUUUCACCGUCAAGCCUUCGUGAGUCUGGCUUUCCCUAGGUUGCAGAGACUUCAGCCAGUGAGUAUCCCAUAACCCUAUUGAGUUGUGUUUUCUGUUGGUCUUGGCCGAUACUUUCCUCACUCAGUGUUAGUGCUCGAUUUCUUUCUAUUGGCGAUUCUCUUGGAUGCGCUUGUUUUGUCGAUCAUCCAACGGCCGUCUGGCUUAAGAUUGAUGGAGGUAUUCUAGUCAGUGCUGAAAUUCAAAAGCAAUUUUUGCCAGUGGUUUUUGCUAUUGUUUUUCGUUUUUAGUUUUUGAUUUUCAAUUGGAUUGAAUUUUCUAUUAUGUUGCGUUGUGUCUUGUUGGAUUGUUAGGCUUGUUGUUUUCUUGAGCUGAAAUGUCUGGAUUGUUAUUUUUGAGCCAAAUUUUAAGUUCUCUCCAUUGUAAAUAUUAAUAUGGUUUUAAUAUUCCUUGA
rnacentral:lncRNA from 1 species